rnacentral:rRNA from 1 species
UGGGGGAUAUUGCACAAUGGGCGAAAGCCUGAUGCAGCGACGCCGCGUGGGGGAUGAAGGCUUUCGGGUUGUAAACCUCUUUCGCUAUCGAACAAGGCCCGCUUAGGGUGGGUUGAGGGUAGGUGGAGAAGAAGCGCCGGCUAACUACGUGCCAGCAGCCGCGGUAAUACGUAGGGCGCGAGCGUUGUCCGUAAUUAUUGGGCGUAAAGGGCUUGUAGGCGGCUUGUUGCGUCUGCUGUGAAAACGCGGGGCUUAACUUCGCGCGUGCAGUGGGUACGGGCAGGCUUGAGUGUGGUAGGGGUGACUGGAAUUCCAGGUGUAGCGGUGGAAUGCGCAGAUAUCUGGAGGAAAACCGAUGGCGAAGGCAGGUCACUGGGCCAUUACUGACGCUGAGGAGCGAAAGCAUGGGUAGCGAACAGG